GGAGAUAUAGCUUAGUGGUUAUGGCAUUUGACUGCAAAUCAAAAGGUUCCCGGUUCAAAUCCAGGUGUCCUCU